AUGAACUGUGUAGAACUGAUGGAGAUGGAGGAGCAGGGCAAUACGUCCUCUGUGCAGUUCAAAGAGGACAAGAAAAGUCUCUCCAAUGUAGAAGCUCCAACUAAAGCAAAGCGUAGACGAAAGCGGAAUCGGGCACAGAGGGUGAAGAGUACAGUCCAGGAUCAAGGACUCUCUGAAGAACUGGUUCGGAUUACAGACCGGGAACAGGGACAGACCAAAGAACUGGGUCAGAAUAUAGACCGAGAUCAAGGACUGGCCAAUAAACUGGGUCAGUGUAUGGACCAGAACCAAGGUCUCUUCGAAAAUCUCAAAAAGAGUAAGGAACAGCGAGAUGUGCUCUUGUCAGAUUUUAUAAAAAACUUGGAGGAAUCCACCAUGAACUGUGAAGAACUGAUGGAGAUCGAGGACCAGGAUGAUGCGUCCUCUGUAAUGGUAAAAAAGGACAAGAAGCAGCUGGACAAUCUCUCAACAGAACCGAAGGAGAAUGAUGUCCAGGAAGAAAGUCUCUUUGAAGAACUCCAUCAAGCCAAAGUACAAACCGCCAAUGUAGAAGCUCCAACUAAAGCAAAGCGCAGACGAAAGCGGAAACGUGUAAAGUGGGUGAAGAGUACAGUCCAGGAUCAAGGACUCUCUGAAGAACUGGCUCAGAUUACAGACCGGGAACAGGGACAGACCAAAGAACUGGGUCAGAAUAUAGACCGGGAUCAAGGACUGGCCAAUGAACUGGGUCAGUUUAUGGACCAGAUCCAAGGUCUCUUCGAAGAUCUCAAAGAGAGUAAGGAACAGCGAGAUGUGCUCUUGUCAGAUUUUCUAGAAAACUUGGAGGAAUCCAUCAUGAACUUUGAAGAACUGAUGGAGAUGGAGGAGCAGGACGAUGCGUCCUCUGUAAAGUUCAAAAAGGACAAGAAGCAGCUGGACAAUCUCUCAACAGAACCGAAGGAGAAUGAUCGAGACGGAGGUUCGAUCCUACAAGGCACUUCACUCCGUCUCUUCACAUUUCUUUUCUUACUGUGUCUAAUUCUAUCUCUGUUUCUAUUCACUUAA
rnacentral:lncRNA from 1 species